GAGGUUGUGGCUCAGUGGUAGAGCGCUCGCCUAGCAGGUGGGAGGCACUGGGUUUCAUCCUCA
rnacentral:tRNA from 1 species